rnacentral:rRNA from 1 species
CGUCAAGUCCUCAUGGCCCUUAUGGCCAGGGCUUCACACGUAAUACAAUGGUCGGUACAGAGGGUUGCCAAGCCGCGAGGUGGAGCCAAUCCCAGAAAGCCGAUCGUAGUCCGGAUUGUAGUCUGCAACUCGACUACAUGAAGUCGGAAUCGCUAGUAAUCGCGGAUCAGCAUGUCGCGGUGAAUACGUUCCCGGGCCUU